GAUGGUUUUACCAUGGCAUCGAAAAAUAGAUCUGGCCAUGUAGUUCCAUCGGCUCUAAAAUGGAUUGCCACUGCGCGGCUUAGACCGUCACACAAAAAACGACGGCUCCUCUCAGUCUCCUCUCUGGAAAAAUGGCAGCAUGAUCAUGGCCACGAAGAUUAUGGAAGUAAGAGACCAUGAAGUAAGAGAGCAUGGCUCUGUGUGGCCUCUCUGCCGGAAUCAGGUAGGCCUUUAAUAAACAGCAGAAUUAAUUAACAUUUAGGCAUUUUUUGGAGCAUUUUAAGCAAGAAGAAUAAGUAAGCAACAGAAUAUGGAUCAUUGACAUAAGAGGCGAGCUAUGGAUAGAGAAAGCCUAUUCGUAAAAAAAGUAAAAUUUGAAUUAGGAUGUCUAGCUGCAAAUACUAAACUUGGAUCACAGCAGAUUCAUACUAUUCACGUGGAGGCAAUAAGAAAUAUAGAGCUCUUAGAUUGGACACAGAAAAUUUUUCUUGGGAUUCUAAAUGCAGUGGCAGAAAAAACUCAUAUUAACGAUAUUACAAUCAAACAAUGAAUGAAUACGAACCAAAACUUUGAUGAAAAAUGCCAUUGUUAUCAUUGAUGCAACAUCAUUCCGAGUGAUAUUAAAGUACUUAUGUCUUUCCAUUGGAUCGCCAAAGAGAGAAGUUUGCGGAAGCUGACUGAACUUAAACAUUUACGGAGCCAGUGAAUCGCUGAGCCGAAAGACUGCCUCGCCCAUGAUUUUUGAGCCAUGGUUUUCCCGUUUGGGCCAGAAAGCGAAUGCCGAGGCAGGGACUUGGGAAGUCCUUUUAAGACGAUGGGUUUACGGUGGAUAUCCCCCCCUUUUGUCUGAAAAAAGGCACGCAACGGGAAGAUGAGGACAAAAGGAUAGACUUGCGCCGAGCACGAAGAAGCUGACUAAAGGGAUGGAAGGCUGUCCUGGAGUCGAUUCUUGAGGGUCUGGCCAACUCACUGGAAGGAAUCGAUUGGGAGUCUGCCCAGUGGAUUGGGGCCUGGUCGGAGCGAUGCUCGUAACUUACAGCAACAGCUCAGGGAGAGCAGGAUAUUAGGGGUCCCUGAAAGUCCACGGAAAGUCACGAAACCCCUUGCUGAUUCGGGACGACAAUCUUGAAGAGGAGGGCAGUGUUACGCGCCCGAGCUGUUACGGCCCUGCCGUUAUCCGGAUUCCGUAGCCAAGAAGAAUGUUUAUAAACAACGAUAGUCAGCUGAGUUGGAAGAUAGUUGUCAAGCUAUACGGACGCAUUUUAUGUACGAGCCAUUAUUAAUCCGUUGUGUUAUUAUUCUGAGUUAUUAUUUGUGUUCUGUGUUGCUUAUUAAAGUUCUCUAAAAGUA